rnacentral:rRNA from 1 species
UACGGAGGGUGCGAGCGUUGUCCGGAAUCACUGGGCGUAAAGGGCGCGUAGGCGGCCUGAUAAGUAGGGGGUGAAAUCCUGCGGCUUAACCGCAGGGCUGCCUUCUAAACUGUCAGGCUAGAGCACAGUAGAGGCAGGUGGAAUUCCUGGUGUAGCGGUGAAAUGCGCAGAUAUCAGGAGGAACACCAAUUGCGAAGGCAGCUCGCUGGGACGUUACUGACGCUGAGACGCGAAAAGCGUGGGGAGCAAACAGG